rnacentral:lncRNA from 1 species
UUAAAAUAAAAUUGGUCAAAAGCAUUGGACCCACAAAUAUUUUGUCAUUGGUAAGCAUAAAGCACACACAAAAUCAGAAUGCAAAAAUAAAGGAAUCAAACUAUGAAAAUAUGAAUCAGCCUUCCUGACUGCCUUAAGUUUCAGCAGGGGGAUCUGAAAUUCAUUCUUAUUUCCACAGAGAUAAGAAACAUUUGGAAAUAUAAUCAAAUGGACCUCGAGAUUUGUCUGGAAAUUAAGCCCUCCAAGGCUUGUCUAACUUGCAAAAGCUUUGUCUAAUGUUGCUGUUGUGGUCAGUGAAAGCUGGUCUGAAGGUAGCGGCCUUUCUUCGAUCCAUAGUCACUGACUUGCGCUUGCACACCUUGCAGGCCCAGGGGAGACACUGGCCGGGGCAGUGCUGUUGCUCCUGAUGAGGAGACAUGGACAAACCGAGGCUGGACGAUGGAGAUGGUUUGUCUUCCAACCCAACUGUGGUGGUCAGCAUCCGUCCAUCCCCACACAAGCCCAUCAUGGAGCUCCUGUCCUGAUAUCCGGCUUGCUCGAAGCCACCAUUGAUUCUGGACUGGAAGAAAUUAUCGGCGCCUUCGUAAAAACGCUGGUCGUUGAAAAAGUAGGGGUUGGUCUCGAAAAGCUCCAUGUCUUUGCUGGUUUAGAGUCCACCGGCUGUGCUGUGUCUCCUCUGAAAAGCUGUACAGGUCCUUGUGAGCGUUUGUGGGUGUUUCUGAAGAAGAUCUGUGGACGACAACUGCUCCACACCAACUGCACUGGUGGCAUU